AAAGCUACCAUGGGCCAACUUUGGUCCGCGGGCCCUAGUUUGAGAAGGGUAAUCCUGCACAACUGGAGUGGCUGCACUCUCAGGACCGCAUUUUUAGGACCGCAUCUUUAGGACCCUAUUUUUUUGUGACAGCGCCAACUGUCGGAUUGGAUCAAGGAUGCGCUAAUGGACGACACGGAUGACAAGGAAAGUGACAUCGUACAUGCUCUGGGUGUCUUGAGGAGCUUGUCUUUGGAUGAUGCUGAGCAGGUCUUUCUUUCUGGUAACGGUUAUCAUUACAGUGAAGUAAAAUAAUUUAACAGACAGAUUGACAAACAACUGACGAAAGAAGAGAGACCAUUCAAUAGAGGACUUCUAGAUGUAUCCAUAAUCCUGGACCAGACCGUAUCAUGAGCAGAUGCAGUGGUGGUCAUGGAGAAGUGGAGAGCAUGAGACUCAUUAAUGAAAGACCCCAGCGACAGAUGAGUGCCCACAUUGAUCCUGUGGUCCAGCCUGAAAACCCGCUGGUGCCCUACUCACACCAGCAGCUUCUCCACGAUGGACGCCCAGUGUUCUUCAGCCUCCAGCGCUUAGACUGCAGCUCUGCACGUGAAGUGUGGCCAGAAGAGAAAUGGUUGUGCCCAACUGAGCCUGGUUUCUCUCAAGGUUUAUUCCUUCACUUUCAUCAAUUGGUAAAGUUUUGUUCCUCCACU